CAUGGUGACAGGGACAUCCUAGAGUUGUCUGACAUGGUGACAGGGACAUCCUAGAGUUUUCUGACAUGGUGACAGGGACAUCCUAGAGUUGUCUGACAUGGUGACAGGGACAUCCUAGAUUUUCUGACAUGGUGACAGGGACAUCCUAGAGUUGUCUGACAUGGUGACAGGGACAUCCUAGAGUUGUCUGACAUGGUGACAGGGACAUCCUAGAGUUCCUGACAUGGUGACAGGGACAUCCUAGAGUUGUCUGACAUGGUGACAGGGACAUCCUAGAGUUGUCUGACAUGGUGACAGGGACAUCCUAGAGUUGUCUGACAUGGUGACAGGGACAUCCUAGAGUUUUCUGACAUGGUGACAGGGACAUCCUAGAGUUGUCUGACAUGGUGACAGGGACAUCCUAGAGUUGUCUGACAUGGUGACAGGGACAUCCUAGAGUUGUCUGACAUGGUGACAGGGACAUCCUAGAGUUGUCUGACAUGGUGACAGGGACAUCCUAGAGUUUUCUGACAUGGUGACAGGGACAUCCUAGAGUUUUCUGACAUGGUGACAGGGACAUCCUAGAUUUUCUGACAUGGUGACAGGGACAUCCUAGAGUUUUCUGACAUGGUGACAGGGACAUCCUAGAUUUUCUGACAUGGUGACAGGGACAUCCUAGAGUUGUCUGACAUGGUGACAGGGACAUCCUAGAGUUUUCUGACAUGGUGACAGGGACAUCCUAGAGUUGUCUGACAUGGUGACAGGGACAUCCUAGAGUUUUCUGACAUGGUGACAGGGACAUCCUAGAUUUUCUGACAUGGUGACAGGGACAUCCUAGAGUUUUCUGACAUGGUGACAGGGACAUCCUAGAGUUUCUGACAUGGUGACAGGGACAUCCUAGAGUUUUCUGACAUGGUGACAGGGACAUCCUAGAGUUUUCUGACAUGGUGACAGGGACAUCCUAGAUUUUCUGACAUGGUGACAGGGACAUCCUAGAGUUGUCUGACAUGGUGACAGGGACAUCCUAGAGUUUUCUGACAUGUCCACCUUGUAACCCGG